UGGGCUCCCCGUUCCACCCGUCUUGAAACACGGACCAAGGAGUCUGACAUGUGUGCGAGUCAACGGGUGAGUAAACCCGUAAGGCGCAAGGAAGCUGAUUGGCUGGAUCCCUCACGGGUGCACAGCCGACCAACCUUGAUCUUCUGAGAAGGGUUCGAGUGUGAGCAUGCCUGUCGGGACCCAAAAGAUGGUGAACUAUGCCUGAGCGGGGCAAAACCAGAGGAAACUCGGGUGGAGGCCCGCAGCGAUACUGACGUGCAAAUCAUUCGUCUGACUUGGGUAUAGGGGCGAAAGACUAAUCGAACCAUCUAGUAGCUGGUUCCCUCCGAAGUUUCCCUCAGGAUAGCUGGAGCUCGGAAACGAGUUCUAUCGGGUAAAGCCAAUGAUUAGAGGCAUCGGGGAUGCACUGUCCUCGACGUAUUCUCAAACUUUAAAUAGGUUGGACGGGUGGCUGCUUUGUUGAGCCAUCCCACGAAAUCGAGAGCUCCAAGUGGGCCAUUUUUUGUAAGCAUAACUGGCGAUGCGGGAUGAACCAGAAGCCGGGUUACGCUGCCAACUGCACGCUAACCUAGAACCCACAAAGGGUGUUGGUCAAUUAAGACAGCAGGACGGUGGUCGUGGAAGUCGAAAUCCGCUAAGGAGUGUGUAACAACUCACCUGCCAAAUCAACUAGCCCCGAAAAUGGAUGGCGCUGAAGCACGUGACCUAUACCCGGUCGUCGGGGCAAGAGCCAGGCCUCGAUGAGUAGGAGGGCGCAGCGGUCACUGCAAACCUAGGGCGCGAGCCCGGGCGGAGCGGCCGUCGGUGCAGUUCUUGUGGUAGUAGCAAAUAUUCAAAUGAGAACUUUGAAGGCCAAAGAGGGGAAAGGUUUCAUGUGAACGGCACUUGCACAUGGGUUAGUCAAUCCUAAGAGUCAGGGGAAACCCCUCUAAUAGCGCUUACGCGCGAACUUUGAAAGGGGAUCCGGUUAAAAUUUUGGAACCGGGACGUGGCAGUUGACGGCAACGUUAGGAAGUCCGGAGACGUCGGCGGGAAUUCCAGAAAGAGUUAUCUUUUCUGUUUAACAGCCUGCCCACCCUGGAAACGGCUCAGCCGGAGGUAGGGUCCAGCGGCUGAAAGAGCACCGCACGUCGCAUGGUGUUCGGUGCAUUCCCAGCGGCCCUUGAAAAUCUGGAGGACCGAGUGCUGCUCACGCUCGGUCGUACUCAUUGUUGGGGUCAAAAACGGUCACGACGAAGUUAACUUCCAAAUCUCCGCAAUAUAUAUAUAUGACUCUCCGCAACAUAGCUUUUCGAGAAAAAGU
rfam:Brassica napus, WGS project CCCW01000000 data, contig: 28213